rnacentral:rRNA from 1 species
ACGCUGGCGGCAGGCUUACACCUGCGGGUGCAAGCGGAGCGAGGGUGCUUGCACCUUAGCUUAACGGCGGACGGGUGAGUAAUGCUUAGGAAUCUGCCUAUUAGUGGGGGACAACAUUCCGAAAGGAAUGCUAAUACCGCAUACGCCCUACGGGGGAAAGCAGGGGAUCUUCGGACCUUGCGCUAAUAGAUGAGCCUAAGUCGGAUUAGCUAGUUGGUGGGGUAAAGGCCUACCAAGGCGACGAUCUGUAGCGGGUCUGAGAGGAUGAUCCGCCACACUGGGACUGAGACACGGCCCAGACUCCUACGGGAGGCAGCAGUGGGGAAUAUUGGACAAUGGGCGGAAGCCUGAUCCAGCCAUGCCGCGUGUGUGAAGAAGGCCUUUUGGUCUGUAAAGCACUUUAAGCGAAGAGGAGGCUACUGGGUACUAAUACUACUGGAUAGUGGACGUAUACUCGCCAGAAAUAAGCACCGGACUAACUCUGUGCCAAGCAAGC